AAGCACUUGAAUAAUUGGCGUACGCCAUAUUGCGCGAGUUCUUGUCACCCGAUUAAAUCUUAAAUCACACAAUUUCAAAUCACUUUUCAAAAUUAAAUAUAAUUUCCAAAUUCAAAUUAUUCAAACCAUGACACUUCAAAUCAUAAUAUUUCAAAUCAUUUCUACAAAUUCCAAAUUCUUUUAAUUAUUUCCGAUAAUUAAGGAUAUGAGGCGUACGCCUCAUUAUCAUUCGAUUAUUCGAAUAAUUGGCGUACGCCACAUUGCUCGAAUCUUCGUCAUC
rnacentral:lncRNA from 1 species